rnacentral:rRNA from 1 species
UACGUAGGGUGCAAGCGUUGUCCGGAAUUAUUGGGCGUAAAGAGCUCGUAGGCGGUCUGUCGCGUCUGCUGUGAAAACUCGGGGCUUAACCCCGGGCCUGCAGUGGGUACGGGCAGACUAGAGUGCGGUAGGGGAGACUGGAAUUCCUGGUGUAGCGGUGAAAAUGCGCAGAUAUCAGGAGGAACACCGGUGGCGAAGGCGGGUCUCUGGGCCGCAACUGACGCUGAGGAGCGAAAGCAUGGGGAGCGAACAGG